AUAGCUGUAACAUCCGCUAUCAAGGUAGCUGUAACUUCCGCUAUUUUUGUCUAAUGCUCACGUUUGUUGUGUCCGCUAUCUUGAUAGCGGAAGUUACCGCUAUCUUGAUAGCGGAAGUUACAGCUAU
ncrna:Lotus japonicus miR7526c stem-loop (lja-MIR7526c)